UUAAUGAACUUUUUAUGUUUCCUAUUUUAACACCCUUAGCCGAGCCUCAAAACUAACGUUACAUAAAUCAUAGUCAAAACUUCUCUUACAGAUAUUUUUAACAUGCAAUAUUCAUUUUUCAGCUGAAGCAAUCGGGUAAAUUUGUCCCUCUACCUUAGGCCUAUGUUGGGUAGAGGUCCACUGCUGACCCCUUGGUGUGUUGACAAAAACUUUUGGCAGGAGUAAACAGUGUAUGUGGGGUAGCAACAUGUUAGGAUUCUUCUGUGACUCACACCACUGAUGCCCCGUCUCCUAGCAGCGACGUAUCUCUAACCUUGACGUUUGGCACAGAUUCCCCAUCUGCCUGCACUCUUUUGCCAACUUUAUUGUUUUUAUUUUGUGAUGACAGUACAUUACCCGUUUGUAUGUUAACAUCAGUCUGUAACAGUGGUAAAAAUCUGUUUGUUAGCUUUGUUUUUGGGUGAUAUAACGAUAUUAGUAUUGUCUUUUAUCACUCGCUGCGCUGGCUUAGUAUUUUGUUCUGUACCAAAUUUUGAAAAAGACACAGUAUCACUCAAGUUUAGUGUAAUCUUGUAAUGCCAAUACAGUUGACUUCAUUAUGUAACCCAGGUCUUAAAAUCGUUCCUAACUGCCUCAAAUAAAAUAUAUAUUUAUUUAUAUUUUCUACCUGUACGUAACCGCAUAUAGUCACGUGCCGCUACGCACACACGGCGUGCGAUCCGCCAAUCAAAUCGCUCGCAGCGCCCAAUACAAGCCUCCUGUGCCUGCUCUCCCUCAUUCAGGAGUUGGGGAGAGGAGCCGCAGGACUGCUGCACAGAGGUCUCAUUACCACCGCAGAGGACGUGUUCUAGCCGCGCAAUCAAUUCACAGUGGGAUUGGCCAGGUGUGCCCCAGUGGGUGCAAAACCCCCCCUUCGAUGGCGAGCUAGAACAGCCCACGAACCCACGUGAACCAUAUCAUCGUUACCAUCACUACCAUCAUCCCCUUCUGCUGGUCUGGUAGGAGGCUGUACAGCCAGUCGCUCCCCACCCUGUUUCCAUUCACUACUCGCUACUCCUACUGUUUUGCGCUUGAGGACAAUUCACAUUCCCGGUCAAAAAAAUUCUGGACUUUACAUAUUCAUUACUACCCCGUGGAAAGCGAGAUAGUGACUCUGUGUACUGCUAUUGCAGUUAAGGUGUUGGAGAAAAUAUCACUGGACUGUAUUGGUCAAACGUUUUCUUUUCAUAUGGUUACACAUUCAAGAAAUUGUAAUUGUACCGCAAUAUUACUGGUAUCAAGCUUGAUUCCCGAAUCUGCAAAAUUGUAAAUAUUGUUUUUUUUGUUAUUUACUAUUAUCACUGUAAAUACAUGGCACCAGCCACUAAACCAUAA